rnacentral:rRNA from 1 species
AACGAACGCUGGCGGCAGGCCUAACACAUGCAAGUCGAGCGCCCCGCAAGGGGAGCGGCAGACGGGUGAGUAACGCGUGGGAAUCUGCCCAUCUCUACGGAAUAACGCAUGGAAACGUGUGCUAAUACCGUAUACGUCCUUCGGGAGAAAGAUUUAUCGGAGAUGGAUGAGCCCGCGUUGGAUUAGCUAGUUGGUGGGGUAAAGGCCUACCAAGGCGACGAUCCAUAGCUGGUCUGAGAGGAUGAUCAGCCACACUGGGACUGAGACACGGCCCAGACUCCGACGAGAGGCAGCAAUGGGGAAUAUUGGACAAUGGGCGCAAGCCUGAGGCAGCCAUGCCGCGUGAGUGAUGAAGGCCCUAGGGUUGUAAAGCUCUUUCACCGGUGAAGAUAAUGACGGUAACCGGAGAAGAAGCCCCGGCUAACUUCGUGCCAGCCGCCGCAGUAAAAC